rnacentral:lncRNA from 1 species
UUGGAGAAAAGAGAUUAAAAAAAACAACCUAUUUGGGAUAUUAUAAAGGUAAUUAGAAAUAUAUUUUUUGUAUGUAAUUAUAAUCUUUUGCGUACUAACCCUUAUAACUUUUACAUAGUCUCCAAGACAACUUGAUUUCAAGCAAUGUGGAUUUUUCAGGAUGUGUUACAUGAAACAAAUUAUUGAAGAGCUUAUGAAGAAUGGUCGCUUUUGCCUAUACAUUCACAUGUAAGUAAUUUGUCUUAAUUCUCAAUUAUACGUUUUUCAUAUAAAACAAUAGUUUAUCUUUUAUAGCUUAACAAUCGGAGUUAUACUAAAGAGGAUAUUGAUGAAGUUCGUGUUGAGUGGGUGAAUCUCAUUCUUAGUCACAUAUAAAAAGUAGAGGUAAUAUUCUACAGCUUUGGCUUACUAAUAUGGAUUUGUGUUAUAGAUAUACUAGUAUAUGUUUAUUUGGUCUAUUGAUUUUAAUGAAAGAAAUAUACUUUUGAAAUAAUAUAUGUUGCAAUUAGCUGGAAUUUUGUUUGAAAUGUAAGAAAUGCUUUGUUGACAUGAUUGUUUUAUAUGUUUUCAUGGCAAAUCUUGUUUUAAUUUUGUGUCAGGAUAUGCUGGAAAUGAAGCAAAAACA